UUGGGGCCUAAAACCUUCCCCACUAGAUGAUGAGAUAAUCAUGUACCCCCAAGAACCUCAUUUUCAAAUGCUGGACACCAAACUGAGUAUAGAGAGAAAGCUGGGGCCAGUGGGAGUGUUAAAAGGGAAAAAGAAGAAGUUACCCACCUCUUUUUUAUCCAAAGUUUGAUGAUUGAUUCCAGUUGGGUUAUCUUAGAAACCAACUGGGUUAAAGUCCAAAAUUUUGGUUUCAAGAUGAGAUUUUUUAUAAAAAAGUUACAAUCUUGAUAUCUUCUUUUGGUCUUACAGAUUUUGAGGCAAGGUUGAGAGAGCUAGGCAUAGAAAAAAGCCAAAUUUUUUACUUACUUCAUUUAAUGAUUCCCUUACAGGUUGCCGAAAAAAACACUGGGUUGGGUUCAGAUUGUUUGUUUUGGCAUGAUUGCUAAUCCUUUUUGGUGUUGUUUCAAAAGAAAGGCUUGGUUUUUGAUGGGUGAAAGAAAAAAAAACCUCCUCAUAUUUGAACUAUAAAGUGGAUGGUAAAGAGAGAAGGCAAAGAGGUUUGGAGUUUGGACCACUUUGCUUUCUUGGUAUGGUGCUAAUUGGAGCUUGUUUUUGUUGAGAAAUGAGCUCAGUUUUCUGCUGAGUUUGUGUACUUGGUUAGGUGAAGAAUUUUCUUGGUUUCAUUUUGGCAAAUUUGAAUCUGCUAUGGAAUUUUGAUCUUGGGGUCACCUUAGAGGUUCUAUUUUCAUGAGUUGUUCUUCUGGAACUGGGAAUUUUGUGAAGCUCUCAAGGCUCCUUGGGGAAAUACGUAAGUGUGCUUUGGUCAAGAUGUCUAUGAACGGCAAGCUUUCUGGUUCUAAUUGUAGAUUAUCAGCAAAUUUCAGGCUGAAGAAGGCAAAAGAGACUAUGCAUGGGCCCAAUUCUUUCAGGAAAUGGAAGAGAAACCUUCUCUUUCUCUGGCUUUUAGGCUUUGUUUCGACAGGAAUUAUUUGGUUUUUCUUGAGUUUCAAUAGUGUAGCUUCGGAGAGGAAUGAGAAAAGUCCUGAUUCUUGUGAUGAGAAGGCAAGAAUCUUGCUCCAACAUUUCAAUGUUAGCAAGAACCAGUUUCAUGCUCUAGCUUCUUUCUUCUACGAAUCAGAUCAGAUAAAAUUCCUCGAAUGUACCAGAGAUUCAGGACCUAAAAAGCCAUCAAGUGAUGGUAUUGCCUGUGCUCUUAAGGUACUGUGUUCAGAGCACCAAGACCUCAGAAAGCAGCAGAUGUGGGUUGUAAGAAAUACAGAACUUAAGGAUCAAUGCCCAGUCCAAGUUGAGAAUAUUCCCAGCGAGCAUGACUUGUCAUUGCUGGAGCACGAUACCUUAUCAUUUGUCUCACAAAUUGCAGUUUCAUUAGUAUCAUGGGAGCAUCACAGUGGUGGAAAGAACAUCUCACAAAGAAGUGCACUAGGAGUCGAAUCAAAAGACAAUUGUGAGAACUUGUCAUUUUGUAUGGUGAAAGGAUGUUGGUUGCUUCUUGUUGGAGUGAUACUGAGCUGGAAGAUUCCUGGAGUUCGUUUGAAGCUCUGGAGGAACAGAAAGAAUGAGCCAGCUCUGCUGCAGCCUGUGGCUCAGCAACUACCGCUGCUGCUGCAACAGAAGCAGCAGCAAACCCAGAGCCCUCCUAAAGGUGCAGGGAAGUGGAGAAAGAAACUCUUAAUAACAUUUGUAUUUGUGGGGAUCUUUACAUCCUUCUGGUUAUUUUGGCAUUUAAACCAAAAGAUCAUUUUAAGGAGAGAAGAGACACUUGCCAACAUGUGUGAUGAAAGAGCACGGAUGUUGCAGGAUCAGUUCAAUGUUAGCAUGAAUCAUGUUCAUGCGUUGGCUAUUCUCGUAUCCACUUUUCACCAUGGGAAGCAUCCAUCUGCUAUUGAUCAGAAAACAUUUGGUGAAUAUACUGAAAGAACAGCUUUUGAGAGGCCACUUACUAGUGGUGUCGCUUAUGCACUGAAAGUUCUUCACUCAGAGAGGGAGCAGUUUGAGAAGCAGCAUGGAUGGACAAUAAAGAAAAUGGAAACUGAGGACCAGACUUUGGUCCAAGAUUGCCUGACAGAAAAUUUGGAUCCUGCACCCAUUAAAGAUGAAUAUGCACCAGUAAUAUUUUCACAAGAAACUGUGUCUCAUAUUGUUUCUAUUGACAUGAUGUCUGGAAAGGAAGACCGUGAGAACAUCCUGCGGGCAAGGGCAACUGGAAAGGGAGUAUUGACAUCUCCUUUUAAGCUGUUAAAAUCCAAUCACCUUGGUGUUGUUCUCACAUUUGCUGUUUAUAACAAGGAUUUGCCUCCAAGUGCUACACCAAGGCAACGAACUGAAGCUACUGUGGGGUACCUGGGUGCGUCUUAUGAUGUCCCCUCUCUGGUGGAGAAGCUUCUGCACCAACUUGCCAGCAAGCAAACCAUUGUUGUCAAUGUUUACGACACAACCAAUGCAUCUGCUGCCAUCAGCAUGUACGGUACUGAUGUAACUGAUACUGGCCUACUGCAUGUCAGUAGCCUUGAUUUUGGAGAUCCAUUAAGGAAGCAUGAGAUGCACUGCAGGUUCAAGCAAAAACCCCCGUUACCUUGGACAGCAAUUAAUGCAUCAGUAGGAGUCCUAGUUAUUACUUUGCUUGUCGGUCAUAUCUUCCAUGCUGCUAUAUGUCGAAUUGCAAAAGUAGAGAAUGACUACCGUGAGAUGAUGGAGCUCAAAGCUCGUGCUGAAGCUGCAGAUGUGGCCAAAUCUCAGUUUCUAGCAACUGUUUCCCAUGAGAUCAGGACUCCGAUGAAUGGUGUUUUAGGUAUGCUGAAAAUGCUGAUGGAUACAGAGCUUGAUGCGAUCCAAAGGGACUAUGCUGAGACUGCUCAUGCUAGUGGGAAAGAUCUUAUCUCACUGAUAAAUGAGGUCCUUGAUCAGGCUAAGAUAGAAUCAGGCAGGCUUGAGCUUGAGGAUGUGCCCUUUGAUCUACGCACUCUUCUUGAUAACGUCCUCUCACUUUCCUCAGACAAAUCUAAUUAUAAAGGGAUUGAGUUGGCAGUUUAUGUAUCCGAUCGGGUUCCUGAAGUUGUUGUUGGUGAUCCCGGGCGGUUUCGGCAAAUAAUUACAAAUCUUGUUGGAAAUUCAAUUAAGUUCACGCAGGAUAAGGGACAUAUUUUUGUCUCAGUGCAUCUGGUAGAUGAAGUGAAGGGUGCAUUUGAUGUGGGAGACAAGGUGCUGCAACCAGGCUUGAACUUAGUUCAAGACAUGUCAAGCAAAACAUAUAAUACGUUAAGUGGGUUUCUAGUGGUGGACAGGUGGAGAAGCUGGGAGAACUUUACAAUACUAAAUGGCAAAGACUCAAUGGAGGAUCCUGAAAAGAUUAAAUUACUAGUAACAGUUGAGGACACAGGUGUGGGAAUUCGUUUAGAUGCACAGGAUCGAAUUUUCACUCCUUUUGUGCAAGCUGACAGUUCCACUUCACGACAUUAUGGUGGGACUGGAAUAGGAUUGAGCAUCAGCAAACGUCUUGUACAACUCAUGCAUGGGGAGAUCGGGUUUGUGAGUGAACCUGGCACUGGCAGUACUUUCUCAUUCACUGCAGCUUUUGGAAAAGGUGAAGCGAGUUCUCUGGAUUCAAAGUGGAAGCAAUAUGAUCCAGUGAUUUCGGAGUUCCAAGGUUUGGGAGCACUGAUUAUUGAUAAUAGAAGCAUCCGAGCUGAGGUUACAAGAUACCAUCUUCGGAGAUUGGGAAUAUCUGUGGAUAUAACUUCCAGUAUGGAGUUAGCGUACACCUAUCUGUCAAGCACUUGUGGCACAAGUGCAUUUGCACAUUUGGCCAUGAUUCUUAUUGACAAAGAUGUUUGGAAUCAGGAAACAGUUCUUCAGUUACGAUCUUUGCUCAAAGAUCAUAGGCAAAAUGACAGAGUAGAUGUUUCGACAAACCUUCCAAAAAUUUUUCUCUUGGCUACCUCCAUGAGCCCGAUUGAGCGCUCCAAGCUUAAGACUGCUGCUUUUGUAGAUAAUGUGCUGAUGAAGCCACUUCGGUUGAGUGUCUUGAUUGCCUGUUUCCAAGAAGCCCUUGGAAAUGGUAGAAAGGAGCAAGUACAUAGAGAGAGAAUGUCUACGCUUGGGAGCUUACUACGAGAAAAGCGGAUUUUAGUGGUUGAUGACAAUAAGGUUAACAGAAGAGUGGCAGAAGGUGCUUUAAAGAAAUAUGGAGCAAUUGUUUCCUGUGUGGAAAGAGGCCAGGAUGCGCUGCACAAGCUUAAGCCACCCCAUAAUUUUGAUGCUUGCUUCAUGGAUCUCCAGAUGCCAGAAAUGGAUGGGUUUGAAGCUACUAGGCAAAUCCGCUGCGUGGAGAGUGAGGUCAAUGAAAAAAUUGUUUCUGGAGAAGCAUCCAUUGAGAUGUACGGAAAUGUGCAUCAAUGGCACAUUCCAAUUUUAGCAAUGACAGCUGAUGUCAUCCAAACUACAAAUGAAGAGUGCAUGAAAUGUGGGAUGGAUGGCUAUGUGUCAAAGCCUUUUGAGGAAGAGCAACUUUAUUCAGCUGUUGCAAGUUUUUUUGAGUCUGGUUGAUAGAGUGGGAGGUGGUUGAACUUUCUUUGUCCAGGUUGACCCCUUUGUCAUUUGGUUCUCUGACAAGUCACAAGCCAUAACUGCCACGAGGCUGCACUUGACCUAUGUCUUGCCCCAUACCAGUGGUCGUCUAAAAUAUGGUGAUAAAAACUUGCUUCUUCAUGUACAUAUCACGUACGAAAUCAUGAAUUCAGAAUAUUUGAUUAUGUUGGUGUGGGUUUUAUCUUCAGGAAUGCUGAGCUUGCAUCCAUGGUUUUGCUUUCAAGUGUGUUGAAUACCAGGGAAGAGUAAUCAAAUUCUUCUGACCCCUCGGUAGUCAUCCACUUGGCUUAAUAUAUGAUCACUUGCCAAGGACAAGGAAAAAAGUGGUGGCGUUUCCUGUACAUACCGACCAAUUUUUAUUUAAUUGUAAUUAAGUGGCCUCCAUUCUUUUUCCGCCCCCAUAUUUUAUAUGUUGUAAGCCAAACAAUAAAAUUUUAUGUAGAGUUUCCACGUUUCAAGCUCUUGUAAAAUGAGUGAUUAAAUUUAAUCCGUCCUGUCAGCUUUUUGUGUUGGACAAUCUGCACAAGGUACAUGGAUCAAGGUAUGAAGUAUUCAUACUGUUCGACUCAUAUAUGUGCGUUUUGAGAUGUUAGUGUGUUACCCUUUUACUUUCAAAUGGACUUAAAAGGGCGAUAUGACAAAUAAUGUUGCUGGUUGGAACUUGGAAAUUCAGUGAAGCUUGAGCAAGUAGCAAACUCCCUCAUCAGAGAAAUUAAAGCUGGCAACGCAUAUGGGUAUCUUUGCUGAAAGAUUGUGUUCCUCGAGUCUUGAGUGCUUUGGUUGUUUGCUAUGAAGAGGUCCCCUUGUUGUAACCAUGACUUUCCAUUGUCCAUUAGUAUUCUUUUCCUUUUCUUGGUACAAUCAGUGUAAACUAGUUGUAGCAUGUAAUUUUGCGGUGGUUGUAAGUAAUCAAUUGCUUGAUUUGAUUAGAGUUGGUAAACUUGUUCUCUC